CGCGUCUCUUAUGCGCGUUGUUUAAAUUUGAAGCGUGGCAGUCGCUUCUUAACGCUUUUCAACAAUGAUGAGUCUGACGGUGAACUUCAACCGCUUUGAAGGAUCUAGCAGAAAAUGUAGCCUGAUCCCAAAGGCAGUGCAGUCUAACACAUCAUCUCAAAGUACCAGCUGUCAAGAGGGAAGAAUGCGAGAAACUGGCAUGUUUUGCACGCACCAGAUGUUUCAAAGAGUGACUUUGGCUCAAGAGAAGUGUAUGUGCAAGGAUGUGUUAACGGUUAGAACACAGGAAGUAAAAUAUGGAUAGAAUUGAACAUGCUCUCAGGAACGGAGGAAGCCUAAAAGCAGUGAAGAAGAAACUAGGAAUUGGCAAGAAUCAGAUGUAUGCGUUAAGAGACAAAGCCGGCAAUAUCAUCACUAAUAUGCAUGAGAUAGUUCAAGUGGCUGAGGAGUUCUAUAGAGAUUUAUACAGUACCAGUGGCACCUACGACGAUAAUGGAAGAGAAAAUAGUCUAGAGGAAUUCGAAAUCCCACAGGUAACGCCGGAAGUAAAGAAAGCCUUGGCAGAUAUGCAAAGGGGGAAGGCAGCUGGGGAGGAUCAGGUAACAGCAGAUUUGUUGAAGGAUGGUGGGCAGAUUGUUCUAGAGAAACUGGCCACCCUGUAUACGCAAUGCCUCAUCACCUCGAGCGUACCGGAAUCUUGUAAGAAUGCUAACAUAAUCCUAAUCCAUAAGAAAGGGGACGCCAAAGACUUGAAAAAUUAUAGACCGAUCAGCUUACUGUCAGUUGCCUACAAACUAUUUACCAAGGUAAUCGCAAAUAGAAUCAGAAACACCUUAAACUUCUGUCAACCAAAGGACUAGGCAGGAUUCCGUAAAGGCUACUCAACAAUAGACCAUAUUCACACUAUCAAUCAGGUGAUAGAGGAAUGUGCGGAAUAUGACCAACCCUUAUAUAGAGCUUUCAUUGAUUACGAGAAAGCGUUUGAUUCUGUCGAAACCUCAGCAGUCAUGGAGGCAUUACGGAAUCAGGGUGUAGACGAGCCGUAUGUGAAAAUACUGAAAGAUAUCUAUAGCGGCUCCACAGCCACCGUAGUCCUCCAUAAAGAAAGCAACAAAAUCCCAAUAAAGAAAGGCGUCAGGCAGGGAGAUACGAUCUCUCCAAUGCUAUUCACAGCGUGUUUACAGGAGGUAUUCAGAGAUCUGGAUUGGGAAGAAUUGGGGAUAAAGGUCAAUGGGGAAUACCUCAGUAACUUGCGAUUCGCUGAUGAUAUUGCCUUGCUUAGUAACUCAGGGGACCAAUUGCAAUGCAUGCUCACUGACCUGGAGAGGCAAAGCAGAAGAGUAGGUCUAAAAAUUAAUCUGCAGAAAACUAAAAUAAUGUUUAACAGUCUCGGAAGAGAACAGCAAUUUACAAUAGGUAGCAAGGCACUGGAAGUGGUAAGGGAAUACAUCUACUUAGGGCAGGUAGUGACGGCGGAUCCGGAUCAUGAGACGGAAAUAAUCAGAAGAAUAAGAAUGGGCUGGGGUGCGUUUGGCAGGCAUUCUCAGAUCAUGAACAGCAGGUUGCCAUUAUCCAUCAAGAGAAAAGUGUAUAAUAGCUGUGUCUUACCGGUACUCACCUACGGGGCAGAAAUCUGGAGGUUUACGAAAAGGGUUCUACUCAAAUUGAGAACGACGCAACGAGCUAUGGAAAGAAGAAUGAUGGGUGUAACGUUAAGGGAUAAGAAAUGAGCAGAUUGGGUGAGGGAACAAACGCGGGUUAAUGACAUCUUAGUUGAAAUCAAGAAAAAGAAAUGGGCAUGGGCCGGACAUGUAAUGAGGAGGGAAGAUAACCGAUGGUCAUUAAGGGUUACGGACUGGAUUCCAAGGGAAGGGAAGCGUAGCAGGGGGCGGCAGAAAGUUAGGUGGGCGGAUGAGAUUAAGAAGUUUGCAGGGACGACAUGGCCACAAUUAGUACAUGACCGGGGUUGUUGGGGAGUAUGGGAGAAGCCUUUGCCCUGCAGUGGGCGUAACCAGGCUGAUGAUGAUGGUUAGAACAUUGGGCCAUUUGCUAGAAGAAGGAUUCAAUCCCACCAUCAGUCACACACUCCUUCAUAGCCUUAUGGAUGUACUUCACCCACUUUGGAGGUGGGUUGAGUGUGUACGAUUGUGUCACUGUGUGCAUGAAAUCACAAGUUUGUGGGAGGUACAAGUUAUAGGAAGGUCACUUUGAUAAAUGAGUAUGUGCAAGAUUACACAUGCAUAGAAAUGUCACAAUCAUCACAACCUAUUGCAUACUUAGACAGUUAGCAGUGCUAUGUUUUAGUCUAGUUUUUUUUAAUUUACUUAUGCUCAAUGGCUGGAGAAACAUUAGCGCAUGCAAAGAAUCCUCGAAACAGAAUUCUGUGACACUCUGCACAUGACCUAUGGGGUUAGGCACGGGGGAAAGGGGGUGGGUCAAGUGCAUAGUUUCACCGCAGCAUGGUAGGAUGUUUAGUGGGGCAGUCAACGAAUAAAUUUUUGCGCUACGAGUAUGUUAAGUGUGCUCUACCAACUCUGAAAUGCCAAGGAAAGAAGUGUGUAGUAACUUUCACAUGAUUAUUUACAAUUCUGUCUUGGUGCAGAGAAAAGGCACUUUAAGCCAUACGGGUUCACUUUAUGGUGGAAGCCUUAGAGUACCUAGAACAGCUACACGUGACCUGAAGUAUCCAAACAACAGGGUGAUAUGAAUUUCAAUGUGGCAAAGCAUGCUGUGUAAGUCUUAGUUUUUAUUGGUUAGCUUAGCUUGCAGCGAAAUAAUAAAAAGCCAUAAAUUUCUAGUCGCUUAAUCACGAAAUGCUUGAGUUGUGCAUGUUUACGUGUUUUCUCCACACCACAUUUUUUUGUAGCUUUUCCUCUAGAUGUUUAAUACAAAUGAGCUUUCACUUGCGCUACUUAUUUAAUUGAAAAUUGUUGCAUGCUCAACAGUGUUAUAGUGUAGUGGAAGUCAGUAUGUGAACAAAGAAUGGGAAGGUUUAUUUAGGUGAGUGCUCUACACCAAGUUAUACCAAUUGUGAACUUGAAAUUAUUUUUAUCCCUCAGAUAUGUCACCUUUUCAUACCCAUUUCAUGUAGUGAAGCAGGUUCCCUUUAUACAGCUCUUUUAAUCAGCGCAGAUUUCUCUGCUGCAUUAAAGUAACAUUUAGAUGGGCUACAGUGUCGUGCACCAUAAAAAUGUGCUGUAUUCUUUCAGUCAAACAAACUAAGAAUAACUUUGAAUUAAUAUUGAGGCUGUUUUCAGGUAACAUUCAAAAUGCCCUUUUCUAGACGUUCACUGAACAUCCAUGUAAUAUGCACAUGUCUUGCAGCGAAAUGUCUAUGGGAUACCCAGAAAGUGUUCUAGAAAAAAGAAAUGUAUGCAUAGUGCACGCAAAAAUGUAAUUUGGAUGACUGAAUUGUGUUACAAUUUUUUAGGUACAGGGGCCCAAUACUUGAUCACCCAUGCAACAGUGAAAGACAACCGAACAGUAAAUGUGUGUUGUGUUUUUCAAGUUUAUUGCAAAACAGUGUAAUCUGGACUUGAGUGUUGGGUUGUUAUAGAGUGCUGCCCUUUAGCAUGAAUUUUUUAAAUGCUGUCUCUGUUCAUUUGUGUUCAUAACCAAUAAAAAUUGUAGACAAAGCUA